AAUGUACGUAUUCCGAACAAUGAUGGUAUGGUAUACUUAUUAUUAUUUUGUUUUCAAAUUCUUAAUGAAUAAAUUAAAGAAAAAUAAUAUUUUAAUAGAAAUAUUUUAUUUUCUUGUAUGAAUAUUGUAAGGGAUAAUGUAUCUCAUGAAGGAACAGAAUGAUCAAUCUUUUUUCCAGUGUCAUUUCGAUUAUGGUUGAUUUUUUACAUUCAAACCAUGCAGUUGUAGUGGUGGUUUAGCUUAGGUUUGUUUAGCUAAGUUUUUUAAAGGUAAAAUGUUAAGAUUUUCUAGCUAAAUUUUUGUUGAUGGUUUUCUUUUUCAAUAAUAACAUUAUUGGUUUAAAAUCAUUGAUUAAUGAUAACACAUACAUUAUUUUUAUAAAAAUUUAUUAUUUUUAAUUAACUUAUUACUUAGAAAUAGGAAAAACUAAAAUAAGUAAACCAUCCAAUGAAUGCAUAACCAAUUUAGCAAUUUAUCUAUAAAAUUCAAUGAAUAUCUAAGUAAUAAAAGGCAAAAUGAGAAAAGAGACAAAAAACAUAAUUUAUUUAAGAUAUUAUGAAGUAUUCAUAAGACUUUUAAUUACAUUUGUUAAUGUAUAGAUUACUUACACUAUUUUAAAGAUUUAUAUUAAUUAAUUUAUUUAUUUUUAUUAAAAGAAUAAUCUUUUAUGAUUUAUAUUUUAGAUACUAGAGUACUAAGGUUGCUCUUACAUAAUUUUAUAUAUAUAAUGUCUCAGCUGUACGUCCCUAGAAAAUACAACCAUCAAUUAGAAAACAAACACAUCAUUAAUUAGAAGAGUAUUAGGAUUAUGUCAUCAUCACAUCUUGCUAUCAUGUGUCUCAUCAUGAUUUCUCUUGUUCCUCUGCAUCAAUUGGGAAAUGCAGAUGGUUUAGAAUUCGACAGAAAAUGCGUCCGUCUCCUUGGAUGUACCGGAAGACGUUGUAUUUGCUGUAACAACGCACCGGAAAUAUUAAAAUGUUAUGAUACACAAGCAGCAUGCAUGGCUCAUUGCACGAAUCCAACUAUUUGAGUGGCUUAAAUGUUAAAAAAAAAAUAAAAAAUAACCAUGUAUCUCAAUAAAUAUAAUAUAUAUAUUAUAAAAUAAAGAUGUUAAUAAAAUUUUACUUUGGGUA